rnacentral:tRNA from 1 species
GGGGCUGUAGCUCAGCUGGGAGAGCGCAGCGUUCGCAAUGCUGAGGUCGUGGGUUCGAUUCCCAUCAGCUCCA